rnacentral:rRNA from 1 species
UACUCCUACGGGAGGCAGCAGUAGGGAAUCUUCCACAAUGGACGAAAGUCUGAUGGAGCAAUGCCGCGUGAGUGAAGAAGGUUUUCGGAUCGUAAAGCUCUGUUGCGAGGGAAGAACACGUACGGGAGUAACUGCCCGUACCUUGACGGUACCUCGUCAGAAAGCCACGGCUAACUACGUGCCAGCAGCCGCGGUAAUAC